rnacentral:lncRNA from 1 species
UUUUUAGUAGAGACAGGGUUUCAAACCAUGUUGGCCAGGCUGGUCUCAAACUCCAGACCUCAAAGUGAUGCCCACCCAAGAAGUUCAGGAGCUGCCGAUUCCUUCCAAGCUUUUGGAGUUUCUCUCGUAUCGUAUUUAGAAGAUUCUGCCUUCCCUAGUAGUAGGGACUGACAGAAUACACUUAACACAAACCUCAAGCUUUACUGACUUCAAUUAUCUGUUUUUAAAGACGUAGAAGAUUUAUUUAAUUUGAUAUGUUCUUGUACUGCAUUUUGAUCAGUUGAGCUUUUAAAAUAUUAUUUAUAGACAAUAGAAGUAUUUCUGAACAUAUCAAAUAUAAAUUUUUUUAAAGAUCUAACUGUGAAAACAUACAUACCUGUACAUAUUUAGAUAUAAGCUGCUAUAUGUUGAAUGGACCCUUUUGCUUUUCUGAUUUUUAGUUCUGACAUGUAUAUAUUGCUUCAGUAGAGCCACAAUAUGUAUCUUUGCUGUAAAGUGCAAGGAAAUUUUAAAUUCUGGGACACUGAGUUAGAUGGUAAAUACUGACUUACGAAAGUUGAAUUGGGUGAGGCGGGCAAAUCACCUGAGGUCAGCAGUUUGAGACUAGCCUGGCAAACAUGAUGAAACCCUGUCUCUACUAAAAAUACAAAAAAAAAAAAAAUUAGCCAGGCGUGGUGGUGCACACCUGUAGUCCUAGCUACUUGGGAGGCUGAGGCAGGAGAAUUGCUUGAACCCAGGAGGUGGAGGUUGCAGUAAGCCAAGAUCACACCACUGCACUCCAACCUGGACAACAGAGCGAGACUCCAUCUC